GUCCUUAUAGUUUAACGGCAGAACGUAGCAAUGGUAAUGCUGAAAUACAAGUUCAAUUCUUGUUAAGGGCACCA
rnacentral:tRNA from 1 species